rnacentral:lncRNA from 1 species
UUCAUUGGAGAUAAAAAGCUUGAUAACGUACAGCUAAUAUCAGUUCUUUAUUGAUCGAAUGAUCAUAAUUGAUGCAUAUAUAAGUCAAAGUCCACAUCAAUCACCAUGCAAAUGUGAAUUAAAUGAUGCUCACUUCAAGUGAUGAGAGCGACGAGCAAAAACAAAACUUGUUGGUUGAACUUGAAGUAAAAUGAUAUUUUGUGAUCAAAGGAUGCCUGAAAGGAUAACACAAAAUACCAACCUUCACUAAAUAGCUCUAUAGUUUCAUAUUGAAGAGAUGUCUCCAAUGAAAGAGCGCUGAAAUCAUCAUCUUGAUUGUUUUCGUUGCUUCUUUUUGUCCUCUCGGACAAGACAAACUUACCUUUUUCCAGACACAUUCUAAAAUAAGAACAUCCCCACCAGGAGUGGCCCAAUAUAUUUGGAGGCCUAAGGCCAUUUUGUCUUUGAGGCCUUCCCUGCAGUGGGCCGAUCUAAAGCGAACUCACAGGGAGCCUUUUUUCUUUUCAUUUUGUCUUUGAGGCAUUCCUGCGAUGGGCCUUCUUUAGGUCA